rnacentral:rRNA from 1 species
UACGGAGGAUGCGAGCGUUAUCCGGAUUUAUUGGGUUUAAAGGGUGCGUAGGCGGCGCUUCAGGUCAGCGGUGAAAUACCGGGGCUCAACCCCGGGGCUGCCGUUGAAACCGGAGCGCUAGAAUUCCGAUGCCGUCGGAGGAAUGUGUGGUGUAGCGGUGAAAUGCAUAGAUAUCACACAGAACACCGAUUGCGAAGGCAGCAUACCGGCGCCCGACUGACGCUGAAGCACGAAAGCGUGGGGAUCAAACAGG